rnacentral:rRNA from 1 species
GACGAACGCUGGCGGCGUGCUUAACACAUGCAAGUCGAACGGGCCUGUCUUCUUUUUUGGGGGUGGGUUGAGUGGCGAACGGGUGAGUAUCACGUGAGUAACCUGCCCUUCGGUCCUGGAUAACCGCUUGAAAGGGCGGCUAAUACGGGGUGGUCCGGUUGGUCCGCAUGGGCUGGUCGGGAUAGAUUCACUGUUUUUGGUGUUUCGGCGGGGGAUGGGCUCGCGGCCUAUCAGCUUGUUGGUGGGGUGAUGGCCUACCAAGGCGGGGACGGGUAGCCGGCCUGCGAGGGUGGGCGGCCACACUGGGACUGAGAUACGGCCCAGACUCCUGCGGGAGGCAGCAGUGGGGGGUAUUGCACAAUGGGCGGAAGCCUGAUGCAGCGACGUCGCGUGAGGGAUGGAGGCCUUCGGGUUGUGAACCUCUGUUUCCGGUGGUGAAGGCCCUGUCCGUGUGGUGGGGUUGACGGUAGCCGGGGAUGAAGCGCCGGCUAACUACGUG